UAUAAAGUAAGCUAAUUUAAGCUAGUGGGUUCAUACCCCAAAUAUGAAUAGAUUUCCUUUAUUA
rnacentral:tRNA from 1 species